CGCUGUGGGCUGCAGGGCGCAGUAGUACAGUGCAGAGUCUGAUACUGCAGCAGCAAAGAUCUCCAGAUCUACUUUCUUUCCCUCACGAAGUCUGAUAGAUAAUCGUGGCUGAUUAGCUUUUGUGACACUAUUUGAAGAUACAAUAAUCAGCAGCAGAAACUCUGGUCCUGAUUGAGGCUUUUGUCGAUACCAAUGGAGAUAUCUAGCCGAGUCAUCAUAUGUGCAGGUCAACUGGGGAAGUUCAACAAUGAAUUUGACAUGCUAUGGUCCACCAUCCCAGAUGAUGAAACUCCUCUUGUGGUCCUUGGUGACUCCAACUUUCAUCUAGACAAGCCACAUGCAACUGACCUUCUUGCUCUCCUUCCCACAUUUGACCUCAAGCAGUUUGCCACACCAGCAACUCACAAAGCAGGCAAACAGCUCGACCUCAUCCUCACAAAACAACCUCCUGGACACCAAGCAGUCUUGCUUCAAGAGCAAGCACUUCACGGAGCCUGCUCUGCUUUCCAUCACUGAAGCCUUACAACCAGCAUGAGCAACCUCUAGGUCAUCUGUCCUCAUCCUAUUCAAUCUCUCUGUUGCUUUCGACACUGUGACUCAUCAGAUCCUCCUGUCGACUCUCUCCAGCCUGGGCAUCACCGGAACGGCUCUGCGCUUGGUGGAAUCCUAUCUCUGACAAAUCCUUCAAGGUAUUGAGGAGGGGAGGUAUUUCUGAAACUCAGUAACUUACAACUGGGGUUCCUCAGGGGUCAGUGCUGGGUCCACUGCUCUUUGCUAUUUACACUACAUCUCUGGGGCAGGUGAUUGAGUCUCAUGGCUUCUCAUAUCAUUGCAAUGCCGAUGACAUCCAGUUCUAUUUGUCCUUCCAGCCUGAUGAUCCAUUUGUCUCUGCAUGAAUCUCAGCUUACCUGUCGGACACCUCGGUCUGGAUGAGGGAAUAUCUCCUGAAGCUCAACCUGGCAAAAUCUGAGCUUCUCAUAAUCCCAGCCUGUCCCUCAAUCAACCACAACCUCACUGUACAGCUCGGCUCAUCCACACUCAAGCUGACCAGGACGGGCAGGAACCUUGGGGUGAUUCUUGACAGCUUGACCUGUACAGACCACAUUUCAACAACUGCACGGUCUUGUAGGUUCAUCCUGUACAACAUCAAGAAAAUCAGACCCUACCUCACUGAACAGGCUACACAGCUACUAGUCCAGGCUCUUGUCAUCUCACAACUGCACUAUUGCAAUGCACUACUCUCGGGCCUCCCAGCCAGCUCCAUCAAAUCCCUUCAGAUGAUUCAGUAUGCAGCAGCAUGCCUCAUCUUCAACCAGCCCAAGAGAACCCAUGUCACACCACUCUUUAUCUUACUCCACUGGCUUCCUGUCCCCACCCAUAUCAAAUUCAAGGCCUUGAUGCUCACCUACAAGACCUUGUCUGGAACAGCAUCCUCCUAGCUCAACUCUCUCCUGAAGGCUUACUUUCCCUUAUGCAAUCUGCUAUCAAUCAAUGACAGAUGCUUAGUACUGCCUGCUCAGCAUGGCUCAAGGUCCCAUUCCAGAACCUUCACAUUAUCUGUCCCUCAGUGGUGGAAUGAACUCAGAACCUCAAUCCGGACCACAGAAUCUGUCACUAUUUUCAAGAAAUAGCUAAAGACCCACCUCUUCCGUGAACAUAAUAACAUACUCUGGCUCGUACACCUCUACUCUGCGCACUUUGCUUCUUCUAGAACUCAAUUAAUAGAUCUUGAAUGGUAGCACUACAUGUAUUGUUCUCUGCUUGAUAUAUUGCUUUGCUUGUAUUUUCUCAUUUGUAAGUCGCUUUGGAUAAAAGCAUCUGCUAAAUGAAUGAAUGUAGAUGUAGAUGCCGUUCCAUUCAGCAUACCAAUUGGUCUUCGCCACUCAAACUCUGAUCAGACGAACAAAUAACUAUCGCAGGAAUCCCCUAAACACCACGAAGUAACGCGGGAACACCCUCAACAGGCAAGCUAUACUCCAGACUCUAGCUAAGACUGGUUUAUACAAUAUUAAAUUUAAAGCCCUUUUAAAGAAUUAGCUCUUCAAAUAAUGUCUCACUGUAUUUAGGAUAUUAUUACCAGAGCUACGGUGGUAAUAUCUAAUACAUAAUUAACGAAUACACCAAGUUCAAGUUAUCGCUAGACGAAUGGUUGAACUAAGUUAUCCAAAUUUGAAAAUUGGGGGCUGGGGGUCUGGGGGCUGUAAGGCUGUUGUUUCUCUUCUGAGUGAAUUCCUCUCAGAAGCUUGGUCUACCGGGCCCUGAGCCAUCCAUGACUUGCUGUGAGAUACUCUGUAUCCAUUGUCGCCAACUCAAGGUAUCGUAAACACCAUAUUGAUCCGAGCAGUGAAUGCUCAAAUUUGUUUGGGUCAACAUACACUUAAAUAGGGUGUUGAUUUCUGUAAAGAAUUGAAUUGAUUUCUUCAUCUCAAGUACCAUUUUUCUGUGAUAAGGAUCUCGGUUUUGUGGUGUUUGUGCCUUUGGUGCACGUGGUUGGAUUUCUCUCAGUGGGUGAGUGGGCAAAGGGUGUCCUUGUUGAGAGAGGUUCCACUUGGGUAGAGGGCAGCAUGCCUAAAAGACUUGCAUUAGGAGAAAUCACUAUCUUCUAUGAUAUAUGACCGAUGUGUGAGAUUUUGUGAAUGUAUGGAUUAGGUCUUUUGUGUUGAAGAAAGGAAGUGUGUAAGAAAGGUGUAUGUAUCUGUUGUAGUGUGUGUAAACAUGAGGUAGAAGAUUUUUAUAUAAAUUGGAAAAACUGCAGUUUCUGUGUGUGUGAGUUGAAAACUACAGAGCCAAGGAAUUGGCACUAUAGGUAGUUUAUACAUUUGUUUAAUAGCUUCCCUUGUAACCAAGAGGUUAUGUCUAAACAAUCCUAAUUGUCAUCGCUGUUAUUAAAAAAAAAUGGUUAAACAAUUCUGUUGAAUAACCCAUGAACUUGUGUAAAAUGUCUUUUGGUUUGACAGAGGAUUGAUCAUCUUUGCAUGAAGAGUGAAUAACAGGAUCCUGUGUGUGUGUGUGUGUGUGUGUGUGUGUGUGUGUGUGUGUGUGUGUGUGUGUGUGUGUGUGAGUGUUUCCUAUUUUGAAAAGUGACCAUGUAAAAUAUGCAUGAUUGAGUGUGUGGCCUUGUGUCUCUGAGUGGCCCUAGGAGUGUGCUUAUUUGUGUGUGAUGGUGUCAUCUUACUGCCAAAUCCAAUAACAGUAGAGAGAGUGUUGAUUUUGAGAGUGUAGCGAGUAUUAGGAAUCUCUCUAGAAAUUUGUUUUGCGUGUUGGUUGGACACACCCUGUUGUGACCCAGAUGCGGAGACUCGGUCCCUCUUUAGCAAUCUGUAGAUUAGAUGUCUACUUCUCACCCUCACACAUUCUAUUUUUCAGUUCCACAUUACGGGGAUUAUUAUUCAUUAAUAUCAUUGGGGUUUGUAAACUUUAGGUUAGCACACACAAUGGAUCAUCCUAUAAUAGAGGAAUUUGACUCUUCUACUGGUAGGAUACUGAGAAAAGCUAUUAAAGAAGGAUGAAAAAUUUCUAUUUGUGGAGUGUACAGUGUUAGGCUACCUAUUGGUAGACUAGUGGAACGCUUCCUAAUAAGAGGGGAAGAGAGGGGUUACGAGUGAGGUAAAGGAGAAACGGGCAAGGAUAUAAAUAACCCUGUGAUUGAAAUAUCUCCAGCAUUAAGAUGGGUAUUCUGGACAAGGCAUAGGAGAACAGCAAAAGGAGAGUUAAUAUUAGAAUGGCACACCACCAUAAUAGGAUUAGUAAUAACCAUUAUACCCGAAAACCUAAGAGAGAACACAGGGCUUUUUUUCUCCUGAGACAUGGCUAUUUAAAGAAGCAUUUGGGAGUCCUCGACAUUUCUGGAAACUUGAUUCUGGAAGGUGAAUGGAAAUACAAGAAGACAGAGAGCAGAGUUUGCAUAUCAUAAUAAGCAAGAGGGACAAGAACAUGUUUUUGGGGAGAGCUGGUAUUAAGAUUUAUUAGGGAAAAUGCUUCCUUUAAGUGAAGAAAAGAAAAAGUCAUUAUUAAAAAACAUAACACAACUCACUAACGUAGAGGAGGUGAGUAUUGAGUGACCAUAUGUUAACUGGGAGGUUAUAGAGGGAAGAAACUGGAAAACAUCCAUUCUGAGUGACACACUUGUGGAACUAGCAGUGUCAGAUCAAUAACAUUGCGUAAUUGUACCAAUAGGAGUGUUGGUAAGCACUUACCUAGAUCGGGGAGUGCAAUUUGGAUUUGAGAGGGGUAAAUAAUCCUGAAAUUGAUAUAUUUACAGAAAGUGAAGAACAAUUUAAAUGUGUCAUAUUUAUGAACAGUCUGAGUCAUUUUUGAGUGUGGUACAGGUGGGUUGAUUGUUUGGUGGUUUAUGUGUAUGGAGCAAGUAAGAGAUCCAGAAUUUAAGUGGAUAAAGAUUGAAAAACAAAGACAAAUACAAGGGAAUAAUAACACAUGUUUAAAGAGAGAAUCAAUAUGAGGAUUUAUUAGGGCGAAGAUAUCUUCUAAUUGAACAAACGAUAGAUCAAGUAUAAGAUAGUUUAGGAAUUUAUAAGGAGUGAGCUAAGUGAGUAACCAUACAUAGACCAAAGAAAGAAAGAAAAGCAACACAGGGCUAUAAGAGAAAUUGCAAUGCAUGCUGUAGCCAGUAUGAAGGAACAGUCACAGUACCAAUAUCAUAAAUCAGUGGAAAUUGAUGGUGUUCCAGUUCAGUGUCCACAUGUACUCCCACUGCAUGUUACAGUAAAUCACCUGAUGAUUAUUCACCUUUUAAUUUAA